rnacentral:rRNA from 1 species
CCUACGGGGGGCAGCAGUGGGGAAUAUUGCACAAUGGGGGAAACCCUGAUGCAGCAACGCCGCGUGGGUGAAGGAGCGUUUCGGCGCGUAAAGCCCUGUCAGCGGGGAAGAAGAAAGACGGUACCCGACCAAGAAGCCCCGGCUAACUACGUGCCAGCAGCCGCGGUAAUACGUAGGGGGCGAGCGUUAUCCGGAAUUACUGGGUGUAAAGGGAGCGUAGACGGCGAGGUAAGCCUGAAGUGGAAGCCCGCGGCCCAACCGCGGAACUGCUUUGGGAACUGUUUUGCUGGAAUGCGGAUGCCGUGGGAGGAAUGUGUGGUGUAGCGGUGAAAUGCAUAGAUAUCACACAGAACACCGAUUGCGAAGGCAUCUCACGAAUCCGCGAUUGACGCUGAUGCACGAAAGCGUGGGUAUCAAACAGGAUUAGAUACCCCUGUAGUC